UACGAAGGGGGCUAGCGUUGUUCGGAAUUACUGGGCGUAAAGGGCGCGCAGGCGGUCUUCCAAGUCAGAUGUGAAAGCCCCGGGCUCAACCUGGGAACUGCAUUUGAGACUGGAGGACUAGAGUUCGGGAGAGGAGAGCGGAAUUCCCAGUGUAGAGGUGAAAUUCGUAGAUAUUGGGAAGAACACCGGUGGCGAAGGCGGCAUCCUGGACCAACACUGACACUGAGGAGCGAAAGCCAGGGGAGCAAACGGG
rnacentral:rRNA from 1 species